rnacentral:rRNA from 1 species
UAGGUCGUCAGUUACGUCGGGUGUGAAAAUCUAGGGCUCACCCCCAGACGUGCACUCGAUACGGCCUAGAUAGAGUUUGGUAGGGGAGACUGGAAUUCCUGGUGUAGCGGUGGAAUGUGCAGAUAUCAGGAGGAACACCAAUGGCGAAGGCAGGUCUCUGGGCCAAUACUGACACUGAGGAGCGAAAGCGCGGGGAGCGGACAGGAUUAGAUACCCUGGUAGUCCGCGCCGUAAACGAUGGGCGCUAGUUGUGGGGACCUUCCACGGUCUCUGCGACGCAGCUAACGCAUUAAGCGCCCCGCCUGGGGAGUACGAUCGCAAGAUUAAAACUCAAAGGAAUUGACGGGGCCCCGCACAAGCAGCGGAGCAUGCGGCUUAAUUCGACGCAACGCGAAGAACCUUACCAAGGCUUGACAUAUACCGAAAAGCAGCAGAGAUGUUGUGUCCGCAAGGGCGGUAUACAGGUGGUGCAUGGUUGUCGUCAGCUCGUGUCGUGAGAUGUUGGGUUAAGUCCCGCAACGAGCGCAACCCUCGUUCUGUGUUGCCAGCAUUAAGUUGGGGACUCACAGGAGACUGCCGUGGUCAACACGGAGGAAGGUGGGGAUGACGUCAAAUCAUCAUGCCCCUUAUGUCUUGGGCUGCACGCAUGCUACAAUGGCAGGUACAAAGGGCUGCAAUACCGUAAGGUGGAGCGAAUCCCAAAAAGUCUGUCUCAGUUCGGAUUGAGGUCUGCAACUCGACCUCAUGAAGUCGGAGUUGCUAGUAAUCGUAGAUCAGCAACGCUACGGUGAAUACGUUCCCGGGGCUUGUACACACCGCCCGUCACGUCACGAAAGUCGGUAACACCCAAAGUCAGUGGCCCAACCGCAAGGAGGGAGCUGCCUAAGCAGGAUCGGUGCUUUGGACGAAGUCG